GCUUGAAAAGAAAUCCUGUUUUAAAUUCCUUCCCUCCUGUUUUAACUAGAUGAGCCCCAGGGAGAGGGAGUCAGUGGCCAAAACCCAGACAAACCAACGAAGUUACUGCUGAGAUUUUUGAGCUCCCAAAGGCUUGGGUCCUGCCAUUCCAGCGGGAGCUUCUGCAGCCAGAAAAGACAGAAAGUAGACUCCAAACCACCACCUGUGACUGCCCUUGCCCAGUGUGAAGCAGAACAGUAAUGCUCAAGGAGGUGACAUCAGUGUGGCUCGAUGUCCCCAGGGAGGCUUAAGCCUGACAGACGCACCUCCUGCCAUCCUGCACUCCCACCCUGGUCGGCGAUGCCCUGAGGGAAGGGACCGUCGCUCUGCAUGUCUGUGCUUACUCACCCCACCCACACGUGGGGCCUGUGAUUCCCACGUCCCCCUGGAGGAAACUGCCUCUUUGGUGAGUAAGAUAAGAUUCCAGUUGGUUGGCAUCACGUGGGGCGUUCCUGCCCUUUGUGUUCAUAUAUGCUUUAGUGUCAUGGUUCCUGCUGGUCUAGAGAAAAAGUUUAGAAGUAAAACACAGAACCUGGGGUAGCCCCAGACCCACCAUUUUUUAAAGAAAAACUGGUGCGAGAACUUGUUUUUCAAACUAGAAAAUGCCGUACAAAUAAAGAGAGGUGAACGCAGAACUACUGGUUGUCG
rnacentral:lncRNA from 1 species